rnacentral:rRNA from 1 species
CCUACGGGAGGCAGCAGUGAGGAAUAUUGGUCAAUGGACGAGAGUCUGAACCAGCCAAGUAGCGUGAAGGAUGACUGCCCUAUGGGUUGUAAACUUCUUUUAUAAAGGAAUAAAACGAGGCACGUGUGCCUUUUUGCAUGUACUUUAUGAAUAAGGAUCGGCUAACUCCGUGCCAGCAGCCGCGGUAAUACGGAGGAUUCGAGCGUUAACCGGAUUUAUUGGGGUUAAAGGGAGAGUAGAUGGGUUGUUAAGUCAGUUGUGAAAGUUUGCGGCUCAACCGUAAAAUUGCAAUUGAUACUGGCAGUCUUGAGUACAGUUGAGGUAGGCGGAAUUCGUGGUGUAGCGGUGAAAUGCGUAGAUAUCACGAAGAACCCCGAUUGCGAAGGCAGCUUACUAAACUGUGACUGACAUUGAUGCUCGAAAGUGUGGGUAGCAAACAGGAUUAGAUACCCGAGUAGUC